AGAGUUUGAUCAUGGCUCAGAUUGAACGCUGGCGGCAGGCCUAACACAUGCAAGUCGAACGGUAACAGGAAGAAGCUUGCUUCUUUGCUGACGAGUGGCGGACGGGUGAGUAAUGUCUGGGAAACUGCCUGAUGGAGGGGGAUAACUACUGGAAACGGUAGCUAAUACCGCAUAACGUCGCAAGACCAAAGAGGGGGACCUUCGGGCCUCUUGCCAUCGGAUGUGCCCAGAUGGGAUUAGCUAGUAGGUGGGGUAACGGCUCACCUAGGCGACGAUCCCUAGCUGGUCUGAGAGGAUGACCAGCCACACUGGAACUGAGACACGGUCCAGACUCCUACGGGAGGCAGCAGUGGGGAAUAUUGCACAAUGGGCGCAAGCCUGAUGCAGCCAUGCCGCGUGUAUGAAGAAGGCCUUCGGGUUGUAAAGUACUUUCAGCGGGGAGGAAGGGAGUAAAGUUAAUACCUUUGCUCAUUGACGUUACCCGCAGAAGAAGCACCGGCUAACUCCGUGCCAGCAGCCGCGGUAAUACGGAGGGUGCAAGCGUUAAUCGGAAUUACUGGGCGUAAAGCGCACGCAGGCGGUUUGUUAAGUCAGAUGUGAAAUCCCCGGGCUCAACCUGGGAACUGCAUCUGAUACUGGCAAGCUUGAGUCUCGUAGAGGGGGGUAGAAUUCCAGGUGUAGCGGUGAAACGCGUAGAGAUCUGGAGGAAUACCGGUGGCGAAGGCGGCCCCCUGGACGAAGACUGACGCUCAGGUGCGAAAGCGUGGGGAGCAAACAGGAUUAGAUACCCUGGUAGUCCACGCCGUAAACGAUGUCGACUUGGAGGUUGUGCCCUUGAGGCGUGGCUUCCGGAGCUAACGCGUUAAGUCGACCGCCUGGGGAGUACGGCCGCAAGGUUAAAACUCAAAUGAAUUGACGGGGGCCCGCACAAGCGGUGGAGCAUGUGGUUUAAUUCGAUGCAACGCGAAGAACCUUACCUGGUCUUGACAUCCACGGAAGUUUUCAGAGAUGAGAAUGUGCCUUCGGGAACCGUGAGACAGGUGCUGCAUGGCUGUCGUCAGCUCGUGUUGUGAAAUGUUGGGUUAAGUCCCGCAACGAGCGCAACCCUUAUCCUUUGUUGCCAGCGGUCCGGCCGGGAACUCAAAGGAGACUGCCAGUGAUAAACUGGAGGAAGGUGGGGAUGACGUCAAGUCAUCAUGUCCCUUACGACCAGGGCUACACGCGUGCUACAAUGGCGCAUACAAAGAGAAGCGACCUCGCGAGAGCAAGCGGACCUCAUAAAGUGCGUCGUAGUCCGGAUUGGAGUCUGCAACUCGACUCCAUGAAGUCGGAAUCGCUAGUAAUCGUGGAUCAGAAUGCCACGGUGAAUACGUUCCCGGGCCUUGUACACACCGCCCGUCACACCAUGGGAGUGGGUUGCAAAAGAAGUAGGUAGCUUAACCUUCGGGAGGGCGCUUACCACUUUGUGAUUCAUGACUGGGGUGAAGUCGUAACAAGGUA
rnacentral:rRNA from 1 species